GGGGAUAUUUUUCUCGGUAUAAUCUGCACUUGUCUACCAAUAUUCGAUUUUGGUCAAAUUUAAAUGAAACAACAUCAUUCAAUGUCAUUUUGGGAACUGCUUUGUCCAGAAUUCAACAAGGCCUAUUCUUUUUUUUUUUUUUAAAUUAAAACAAACGUCGUUUGAGUCGAGUGUAUCUUCGUAGAUGUCAGCGCUUUGCUGGUAUAACUGUAACUUUCCUUUUUUA
rnacentral:lncRNA from 1 species